AUGUCGACGCCGGGCGGGGAGGAGGACAAGAAGCCGGCGAGCGCAGGCGGCGAAGGCGGCGGCGCCCACAUCAACCUCAAGGUCAAGGGCCAGGAUGGCAAUGAGGUGUUCUUUCGCAUCAAGAGAUCUACCCAGCUGAAGAAGCUGAUGAAUGCCUACUGCGACCGCCAGUCUGUUGAUAUGAAAGCUAUCGCGUUCCUGUUUGACGGCCGCAGGCUCCGAGCCGAGCAGACCCCUGAUGAGCUCGAGAUGGAAGAUGGCGACGAGAUCGACGCCAUGCUUCACCAGACCGGAGGCCGCCUCCCUCCAAGCGCCUAG
rnacentral:rRNA from 1 species